AAUUCUAAAAUCAUAUUUAUUCACCAAUUCACAGAAAGUGUCGUAAUGACCACCAACAUGAAUCAGUUUGUAGGCAUUUACAAGCCAAGGCUGAAAAUAAAUAUCUGUGUUGAAUAGGCAUUUAACAAAGUACUUGGAAAUGGCAAGAAUCUUCAUUGUUCGAAAUUUCAAGUGUGUGAUUCAAACAGGGUAAGAUCACAGUCAUGGGAAGAAGCUCAACAAAUUCCUGUCACGGUUCUUAGUUCUUCCUACAUCUUUAUAUACAUACAGAUUCUCAGUGCCCCUCACUGUGUCAGCCUGGGUAGGACAGCUCGAUGAAACAGGAGAAGGGUGCUGAGAGAGGGUGGGAGGAGGUGAAAGGGCAUUUUCUCUGAUUGUUUGUGACUGGGCAACCUCAUUCAUCGAGUAGACUCAGCAUUCUAUAAAUGCAUACUGUCCUUCUCACGAGAUAGUCCAGGGUUUGCAGUGUAUCACACUCAUACACACAAUAGUAUAUAUAGCAAAAAAACAUAUUUUCUCAAUUGAAGGAAUUCACUCUGAGGCAGCUGGAAGAGCUCAGUCUGACGCGGGUGCCGGGCACACACUGGCUCACCCAGGGAGAUGCAGGAAGCCAUCACAAGAGGCACUCUGGCCAACCUGACAGUAAUGCUUGCACAGCAACAGUGGUUGAAGUUGAUUCUAUAAAAUGAUGCUGCUGGUCCUUCCUCCGUCUGCAACAUCAACACGCUAGAGGUUUUGAGGAGAGAGAGCUCAUCACACCUUUCCCCCUCACAAUACGGCUGGGCAGAUAGGAAUGAACAGCCACCCAAGCCGUCUUGGGUGCCAAGAUGGUGGCAGCAUCUCCAGAUAAGGGAGAAGGGAAGGGUUGGGAAAAGAAUCACAAGACCUUUCAGAUCAGCUGAGUCCAGAACCUUUUCAUUUAAUUCCAGAACUGUAUCUGAAAUUGGCCAAACUCAACAGCAUUUCGCUGAGUGUCUAGGAAAUGGCAGAGGCAAUAGGAGGCAAGCCCCGAGCUCCACACCCUAUAUGCAGAUGUGGUUUAAGUGGUACCCACUCACUUAAUGCUAUAGCCCAUCACUGAUCACUGUCAGAGAGCCCAAUUCAGGAUUUGCAGCUUGCUGAACGCAGUGCCAAACCUGUGAAUCCGCAAAAGCUUCUGCUCCGCUAGUUGUGAUGAUCUACAAGGGGGAUGUGGCUGCCCUGCUUCUCUGCAGCUCAACUUGGUGUAUACAGUGAUGAUACUAAGCGUCUACCUAGAGGUGACAAAUGGACCUUCAAUUUCUUCCUACCUUUUUUUGUUUUGUUUUGUUUGCUUUUUAGGGCCACACCUAGGGCAUGUAGGAGUUCCCAGGUUAGGGGUUGAAUCAGCUGUAGGCUGCAGCUGCCAGCCUACAUCACAGCUCACGGCAAUGCAAGAUCCUUAACCAGCUGGGCGAGGCCGGAGAUUGAACCCGCAUCCUCAUGGAUACUAGUUGUGUUUGAUACCACUGAGCUACAACGAGAACUCCCUGGACCUUCAAUUUCUAAACACUUGUUAAAUGCCUACGAUGGGCCAGGCAUUGUUCCAGUGCUUUGUAAGCCAGAAGUAGACAACCACUAAAGAAAAAGUGUAACAUCCAAACCAAGGAAUGUAAUUAAAAUGCUUCCAAGAAAUUUAAAAUGUGUUGGGACCAUCAGUAUAUUCAUUCUAAAUCUCACUUAUUUCUGUCUUAUAGAUAGGCGUAUGACAUAUAUUUAGCUAUCCUUAGCUAUCAUCUCUGAUAGUUUACAGUGAAUAUAUUUUCCAAACAAAUGCCCCACCAAGUCAUUCUAACUCUUACCUUACUGACAUUAUAAUGUCCAUGACACACCCACUCUAAUACCUACAGAUUUCUCUGAAAACAACUGAUUUCCUCAUACAGUUUCUUUUCUCAACUACCAACUGGUUUCCUUCAAUCUCCCUACAAGCCUGUCCAGCUCAGGACACCAACAACCCUUUUUGGAAACCACUGAGGUCAGGCUGGAAGCAACCAGGUGGACUGAACCAUCAUGGCUAGUUUAAUAAAGAAUUGAAACAACCUUCACAUAAGAAGCAAUUCAUCUGAUAGCCUCUGGGGUCACCUGGCCAGACUCACCCACAGUUGGCUGAAACCUGGAGGUGGCUCUCAAUACAGAACAAUCCUCUGACUUCCUGGGUGACGGAAGUCCCCCCGUUGCUUUCACUCCUGCUUAGCCUCACCUGUUUCCUCUCAACUCUGAGUCACCUCUCCCCUCAAUCUCUUCUCUUGCUUUCUGAGUGAUCAGCCAUGGGUCUCGUCUCUAGCUUCCUGACCUCCAAAAAACUUGUUUCCAUCACUUGAAAUUGACUAGUGAAGAUGGGCAGGACCACUCCUGAAUCCCAUGUAUCAGCGGCUCCCCUGCAGGCACUUAAGGGAGCUGGGGGGGGUGGUGGUGUCCAGAUCCUUGGGUUCCACAUUCACCAGGGCGAUGUCCCUUAGUCUUGAGGGGUGGUUGUGCACAUCAUAUUCCCAUCUGCAACCCCCUCAGCCACAAGAAGAGCCCCCAUCACAGAGCUGUUAAUGAACCCCUCCAAAGGGCAGAUGUCUCCUCACCCCUUCCACUGCCUUUCCCACACAGGGGCUGGAGCCUACAGCUGAGACUUGUGGUUGAUUCAAUCUCUGCUUCUACACAUAGACACAACGUGUGAGCUCAUUUCUCUGACAGCUUUUUCUGUUAAGGAAAAUAACCCUUCACACGUGUGACUGUGUGUGUAUAUAUGUGCUGUUUCUGCUUUGAAAUGCUCAGGAGAAAGGGUCUGGGCAGCAGAGAUGCAUUUUCAUUUCAAGAUAGAAGAAAAUGGACAUCAGAGCCGACAUGUUUCUGUGGCAUGUGAUUAAUACACACCCUCUGCAUUUUUGGCCUUUCUCAUGGCUGUCGCCCUCUCUCCGUUAGUCUCUUGGGAAUUGAGCUUCCUCUUGAUGAAUCUCCUCUGCAGUGAAUCUGUUAACAGGGCCUGGAGAGCAGCACAGGGCUGGGAGUAUUAACAGAGUAUGGCUCUUUCCUCAGUUGCGACACUGCCCAUGACCUUUGGGGCAGACAGAGCAAGUGGGCUCAUCAAGGCUCACCUACCUGCUCCUUGUCUCAGGGCUCCUUUGAUUGGUUAUAGCUGGGAGGCGCCCAGGGGUGGGGGUCCCUCUUCAAAUAACCCCACUCCUUUUUUCCAUUGGGACUGCAGGAGUGUUUUCCUUUCUAUUCUGUCCUUCCAUCCUCCUCUAUGUGAUUUUAUAAAAGACCUCAACUUGUACAUGGAGAGAAAGGAGGGAGGAAUUUUCCUCCAUGUGAGCAUCUUAAUUUUUGCAAUGCUGUGCAUUUGUGGGGGCUAAGUGAUCUCGGAUAUUCCCUUUACUUCAGUGUUUAUGGAGCACACACUGUGAGCCAGGUGUGUGCUAGACACCCAGGGUGUUUCUAUAGAUGUUACUCUUCUUGCUUGAGGAGGGGGCCUGUGAGAGCAGAGGAGGCAAGAUUUGGGGAACCAUCCUAGCCUCACACAACCUUGUUUUCUAGGGUCCUGGACACCAUCAGCUACCCGAAAAGUGAAGGCUGCAGUUCCCUUUCACUAUACUGAAAGUUCUCAUGGAGAGGGGGGCCCCUGACUGUGGAGAUGUGUCACCACCAUGGCCCAGAGGUACUGGCUUCCCCUGCCACUCAGAACUGGAGGAGCCAGCUGGUGCUGGGACAUGGUUCUAUUGUUUCUGAUAAAUGUAAAUGGCUGGUGUGUCCUGCCCAGCGACACCCCAGGUGUCUCACCUGCACCCAGGCUUCCCAAUGAACAUGCCCCCUUAUUCACUCACACCACCUGGUGUCCUGGCUGGAUCUGAGCCCAUCACCCUCAGUCCGCAGUGCACCCCUGUCCUGCCUGCCAGCGAGAACAAAGCCCACCCUGUUUCCAGAACUGCCAAAGGCUGUGCCAUCCACUUUCUGCCACUCCAUUCCUCGCCCUUUUGUCCCAUAGGAGCCUGUGUAGUAAGUGACUGGCCUCAGGGAAAUAUAUAAAAUUGUCGAGGUCCUGGAUGAGAAAUGUUUCCUAAGGGAAUUCACAAAGAGAGGCUGGGCGGUGAAGAGAAGCGCUUCUGGAUCUAAGCAACAUGAAGCAAGGCUUUACCUUCUCCUCUCGGGUCUGGUUCUCCCAACACAGCUGGCCGAUCCUAUCUGUUCUCAUUUGUACGUCCCCGUCUGUUAGAGAUGAGUUAUUCCCAAUGGGAUCUCUGUGGUCUCAGAGACUGGGCAUGUGAUCGGAAGAACUUUUCCAAGUUGGGCGGGAGAAAAAGAAGGGUCCUGCAGGGUGUUUGUGAGGACUCAGCGAGGAGAGGCUGAGAGGACCAGGAGUGAUCAGGAGGGAAUCGGAGUUCAUAGGAAUGAAACGGCAGGUGCUGGAUCACCGAGGCCAUGUAUCUGGGCUCCUGCCCAGCCCAUUUCUCCUCUAGGCUUCCAUCCCAAGCCCAGUAGCCCAGUCCUCUGACUCCAAGCCUUAGAAAUCCUUACACCAAGAUGGACUCUGUACCCACAGCUAAGUGUCCAUGACAGGUAGGGCACCAACUAGCUCCUUCCAAAGGUUGGUGGACCUUCAUUGAGUCAAAACCAUAAAACAAAAAUCUAAAUCCAUCAUUGUGAACCUCGGGGAUCUGGUUAAUGGGGAAAAAGAGCCUUGGUGGAGCCUGGCACCUUUGUGGGUCUUAGAAAUUUGAGGGCCAAGACAUCAUCUGUAGGGAAGGUUGCAGGUUUGUUUUGGGGUUUUGUUUCCUACUUUCGGUAACAUCCGGCAUGAGUUACUGCCCUUCCAAGAAAAGCCAUUCCUUCCUCAUCCAAUUUAGUGCCUGCCUUGUGACACUGCAUGCCCCAAACCCAUCACUAAUGGAGAGAUGCUGCAGUAAACAGGCAGUGUCCUUAACUGACCGGCUGCCCUCCUGCCAGGCACCGGCUGGCUCCAGGCUGUAUAGAGACCGCUUCUGGUGAUGCAGGGUCAUUGCUGCAGUUUGUUUCUCCCUAAAAUGUGGACCUGCUCAGCUUACAGGAACCAUGGUGGUGGACUCCCUAGGGAUGGGCAGCCUCACCACAAUUUCUCCCGGGCUGUAUCUUUCUCCAGGAUGAAGGGAGACUGGUAGGAAGUGGCUCAUGCCCCAGGGGAGGAGUGGAAUUGGGACCAGGACCAGGGUUCCCUGAAACCACUGCUUAAGGGAGUGUGGAUUAGAGCCUGGAGGCCCUGGAGCGGGGUGGGACCAUCUGCCUUGGUCCCCUUGUAUCACUACACAAUUAUUUAUUAUUUUAUCUUGUUAACCAUCACAUCCUCCCAAUGCCAGCUCAAAUCCUCCUCCUCCUCUGAGUGGUUCUCAAACCUUAGUGUGUAUCAGGAUCAGGGAGCUCAUUAAAAACAUGGAUGCUGGGCCCCGCCCUGGAGUUUCUCGGGUAGGGCCUGAUAAUUUGCAUUUCUCACUAGACCCCAGGUGAUGCUUCUGCUCUGGUCCAAGGACACACUGAGAACCUGGGCUCCAGAGGGUCAGGCAUGAACCUGCAGUGGGUCCCCCCAAGUCAGGCCCUUCUUCCCUCUUUAGCUCUGACCCAGGGCCUCUGAGGUGCCCUCUCACAUCAGGCUGUUCCAUGGCUGUGGAUCUUGGCUCACGCUGGCCCCUGAACCUGGGUUAUGCUUCUUCACUUCUGAGGUCUGGCUGCCUGCUCCUUGUACUUAAGAACUUCUUUUGGCUGGUUUCACUGAAUCUCACCAUCAACCACGUUAUUUCUGCCCAAUAGGCAAGGUGACCGGCUUUAGGUGAACUGAGUCAGCUUGGGUUGGAAUUAAGAAACACAGAAGGGAAUUCCCAUCAUGGCACAGCGGAAAUGAAUCCGACUAGGAACCAUGAGGUUGCGCGUUCGAUCCCUGGCCUCACUCAAGGCAAUGUUGGGUCUUUAACCUGCUGAGCCACAACAGGAACUCCUCUAUUUUUAAAUACUUAAAAAUCAAAGGAGUAAUACAAUUUUGUGAUGUGACAAUAAUAUGAAUUCAAGCUUCCUGCUUUUUUUUUUUUAAGUAUUCAUAAAGAAAGUUUUGGCGGGGAAUAUAGCCAUACCCAUUUUUUAAGUAUAUAGUCUGUGGCUGGUCUCAUUCAUGGUCAGAUGCGUGGCAUUGGGCUAAACCUGCUAGAAUGUACUUUGAGUAUCUUUUAAGUCCUAUGACCAGCUAGCUGAUGGCUGUACUCCAUUGGGACAACUCAUUCUGUACUGGCUUUUUCCAUUUCAACCUCCUCUUUCUCUUCCUCCUUGUCACCUGUGUCACGUGAGAGGUGUUUCAGCCUGUGUGUUUUCAACCUCCAGAGAGCAGGAUCUAGUCAUUCCCUUUGGCAAGACAAGCAAUGGUCUGGCCUGUGGCCAAGCUAG
ensembl:lncRNA